rnacentral:misc_RNA from 1 species
GGGACUACAAGGGUAUCUAAUCCCGUUCGCUCCCCUAGCUUUCGCGCCUCAGCGUCAGUCACUGUCCAGGUAGCCGCCUUCGCCACCGGUGUUCCUCCCAAUAUCUACGCAUUUCACCGCUACACUGGGAAUUCCACUACCCCCUCCAGGACUCAAGCAAAGCAGUUUCAGAUGCAGUUCCCGAGUUGAGCCCGGGGCUUUCACACCUGACUUGCCCUGCCGCCUACGCGCCCUUUACGCCCAGUAAUUCCGAACAACGCUUGCCACCUCCGUAUUACCGCGGCGGCUGGCACCA